rnacentral:rRNA from 1 species
UACGUAGGGUGCGAGCGUUGUCCGGAAUUAUUGGGCGUAAAGGGCUCGUAGGCGGUUUGUCGCGUCGGGAGUGAAAUCCACUGGCUUAACUGGUGGCUUGCUUUCGAUACGGGCAGACUGGAGGUAUGCAGGGGAGAACGGAAUUCCUGGUGUAGCGGUGAAAUGCGUAGAUAUCUGGAGGAAUACCGGUGGCGAAGGCGGCAUCCUGGACCGACAUUGACGCUGAACGGCGAAAGCUAGGGGAGCAAACGGG